AUGCAGUACUGGUCCCUGGAAGGCGUAGAAGAGAUCCUUCGCGACAAGGUGCGCGUGGACUGCCUCGACAGAACGCUCGAGCACGGCCACGCCAAGACUUUUGUCUGCUGGCUCUGGGCAUGGGAUAUCGCCCACAUCCCCACCAAGCACAUGCUGUGGGUGCUGCCGCGCGGGGCUGGAAGGGUGGAGGAGAUGCAGGGCUUCUUGCCGCCCGACCGCCGGGUGGCGCGGCCGCCCGGAGCAACGCGGUACGGCAUGCUCAUCCAUGUGGAUCGAGUUUACCGCGUUCAUCGCACUCGGGGCAGAGCGGCCUGCCGUCUUCCGACUCCGACUAGGACGACGCGUCGUUUCCCAGGUGAUCCCUGGCACGUGGAUGAUGGAGGUUUAUACAAUCUGGAGUCAUCUGUGUUGUGUUGUACAGGGCUUUGCUUUGGGGGUACUUCUCCACUUUUGAGCUUUGUUUCCUGGUGUGUUCCUCUCAGGUCUUAA
rnacentral:rRNA from 1 species